UACAGAGGUCCCAAGCGUUGUUCGGAAUCACUGGGCGUAAAGGGUGCGCAGGCCGCGCGGGCAGUCAAAUGUGUAAUUCAGGGGCUCAACCCCUGCACUGCGCUUGAUACUUCCGCGCUAGAACCUUGGAGAGGAGUCUGGAAUUCUCGGUGUAGCAGUGAAAUGCGUGGAUAUCGAGAAGAACACUAAGGGCGAAAGCAAGACUCUGGACAAGCGUUGACGCUCAAGCACGAAGGCUAGGGGAGCGAACGGG
rnacentral:rRNA from 1 species